AUACAGAGGGUGCAAGCGUUAAUCGGAAUUACUGGGCGUAAAGCGCGCGUAGGCGGUUUGUUAAGUCGGAUGUGAAAGCCCUAGGCUCAACCUGGGAACUGCAUUCGAAACUGGCAAACUAGAGUAUGGUAGAGGUAAGUGGAAUUCCAGGUGUAGCGGUGAAAUGCGUAGAUAUCUGGAGGAACAUCAGUGGCGAAGGCGACUUACUGGACUAAUACUGACGCUAAGGAGCGAAAGCGUGGGGAGCAAACGGGAUUAGAAACCCCGGUAGUCC
rnacentral:rRNA from 1 species